GCUGCUGUAGCUCAGGGGUAGAGCGCGUCCUUGGUAAGGACGAGGUCAAGGGUUCAAUUCCCUUCAGCAGCUCCA
rnacentral:tRNA from 1 species